rnacentral:rRNA from 1 species
AUUGAACGCUGGCGGCAGGCCUAACACAUGCAAGUCGAACGAGUGGCGGACGGGUGAGUAAUGUCUGGGAAACUGCCUGAUGGAGGGGGAUAACUACUGGAAACGGUAGCUAAUACCGCAUACCAUCGGAUGUGCCCAGAUGGGAUUAGCUAGUAGGUGGGGUAAAGGCUCACCUAGGCGACGAUCCCUAGCUGGUCUGAGAGGAUGACCAGCCACGCUGGAACUGAGACACGGUCCAUGUGCGCACGGGAGGCAGCAGUGGUGAAUAUGGCACAAUGGGCGGGAGCCUGUUGCAGCCAUGCCGCGUGUAUGAAGAAGGCCUUCGGGGUGUAAGAUACUUUCAGCGGGGAGGCGUUACCCGCAGAAGAAGCACCGGCUAACUCCGUGCCAGCAGCCGCGGUAAUUC